GGGCGGUGCAGUCAGGUGGGGAGUGGGAGGGGGCGCCGGGGGUGCGGGGCCGCCGGGGCUUCCUCGCCUCGGAAGUGCGACUCCCUCCACCCGUCCGUCAUGACGGUUCAGGAACGUGAACGUGGCUUUUUGCCUUUCCACCGACUGUGCUGUUGGUUUGGACCAGAGAAAGGAAAGAGAAAGAGAAUUCGCGGUGGGUCAACUUCAGUCCCAGAGGACAAUUUGGAAACUUGUUUGCUCACCGCUGGGCGGCCUGGGUAGGGGGGAACCCCUUAUAGCCGUGAUUGGAGGUUGUCCCGAAAAGGGACAAUUUGAAAUCCGCUCCCUGAAAGAUUUAAGAUAAAUGCAACUGUAGCCACUAGGACAGAAUGUCGCAACCCGAGUGUCUUUCGGCCACACGGUGUCCCUGGGCCACCCAAACUUCCCGCAGCUGCCGGAAUUGCGGUGCCACUAGUCACAGCCGCAGAUGACGACGUUCGGGGCCUCAGGCGCUCCCGGAGGGACGCGGCGGGGAGGGAGGGGAGAGGAUGGGGUGGCAAGAGAGGGGCGACGGCGGAGAAGCAAUGCAGCAGUAUCGUUCGCGGGCUCAACUCUGCCGCCCCUCCGCGUCUCGGGUGGCGCUGCGUGCUUUCCCCGCCCCCUCCCCCCGCGUGUGAUAAGCGUCUCCGGGAGUGUGCAGAGCCCACGUUUACUACCGCUGGCACCUCCAAAGCCUCCCUCCUUAAUCCUGUCUCCAACGGGUACCAGCACAGGGCCAGCAACGUGAUCCGACCUGCCGCGGCUGCCACAUCACUGCGCGGGGCGCGCGCGCUCGCCCUGCAGCCGCGGCGCUCGGCGCGGGGAAAGCACAGGCCAGCGGAACAGGGCUACCUUUCCCCAGAGCCGUCCCGGGAGCAUGACUCACUGCUAGUGAGAGUUACCCGGAGGUGCCCGCAUUUGCGCAGCGGAGGGCCAGGGACCUUGGAGACGAAGCGUGGGGAAGCGCCUUCUGUGGGACCCCCAGGUCUCUGGCGCCGCUGCCGCCACUUGCGUCUGCCAGGGCCAGGAUGGAGAGAAGAUAUGUUUAUCUGUCUGUAUACAAGUAGAUCGAUUUCAAACCCAACGUCUUUCCUUCCUGCAUUCUCCCGGGUGAUCCCCGAAACAUUCGUUAUUGCCAGUGGCACGUGAACCAAGGGGCGAAGCACGCUGAAAUGCACGCGCACCCGGGCGCAGCAGGGACCGGGGCCGUCGCUACGUGUCCCCCGG
rnacentral:lncRNA from 1 species